rnacentral:rRNA from 1 species
ACUCCUACGGGAGGCAGCAGUGGGGAAUAUUGCACAAUGGGGAAACCCUGAUGCAGCCAUGCCGCGUGUGUGAAGAAGGCCUUCGGUUGUAAAGCACUUUCAGUAGGGAGGAAGGUAGUGUAGUUAACACCUGCAUUAUUUGACGUUACCUACAGAAGAAGCACCGGCUAACUCCGUGCCAGCAGCCGCGGUAAUACGGAGGGGUGCGAGCGUUAAUCGGAAUUACUGGGCGUAAAGCGCAUGCAGGCGGCCUGUUAAGUCAGAUGUGAAAGCCCGGGGGCUUAACCUCGGAAUUGCAUUUGAAACUGGCAGGCUAGAGUCUUGUAGAGGGGGUAGAAUUUCAGGUGUAGCGGUGAAAUGCGUAGAGAUCUGAAGGAAUACCAGUGGCGAAGGCGGCCCCCUGGACAAAGACU